rnacentral:rRNA from 1 species
CUACGGGUUGCAGCAGUAAGGAAUAUUGCACAAUGGGGGAAACCCUGAUGCAGCAACGCCGCGUGGACGAAGAAGGCCUUCGGGUCGUAAAGUCCUUUUCUGAGGGAAGAGGAAGGACGGUACCUCAGGAAUAAGUCUCGGCUAACUACGUGCCAGCAGCCGCGGUAAAACGUAGGAGGCGAGCGUUAUCCGGAUUCACUGGGCGUAAAGGGCAAGUAGGCGGUUGUUUAAGUUAGGUGUGACAUCUCUCGGCUUAACUGGGAGGGAGCGCUUAAAACUAGGCAACUAGAGGGCGGAAGAAGGGGGUAGAACUCCAAAUGUAGCGGUGGAAUGCUCAGAUAUUUGGAAGAAUACCAGUGGCGAAGGCGACCCCCCGGUCCGUGCCUGACGCUGAGAGGCGAAAGCUAGGGUAGCGAACGGGAUUAGAUACCCGCGUAGUC